rnacentral:rRNA from 1 species
GCUUAGAAGCAGCCACUCAUUUAAAGAGUGCGUAAUAGCUCACUGGUCGAGUGAUUCUGCGCCGAAAAUUUCCGGGGCUAAAACUUACUACCGAAGCUACGGCAUCAUUAUGAUGGGUAGGGGAGCUUUCUAUACGGGUUGAAGCAUGACCGUAAGGACAUGUGGACUGUAUAGAAGUGAGAAUGUUGGCAUGAGUAGCGAGAUGUGGGUGAGAAUCCCACAGGCCGUAAACCCAAGGUUUCCAGGGGAAGGUUCGUCCGCCCUGGGUUAGUCAGGACCUAAGCCGAGGCCGAAAGGCGUAGGUGAUGGACAACAGGUUGAUAUUCCUGUACCACCAAUAACCGUUUGAGAAAUGGGAUGACACAGUAGGAUAAGCUAACCGCACUGUUGGUUAUGUGCGGGCAAGUAUUGAGGCAGUUCCGAUAGGCAAAUCCGUCGGAAUAAUGCUGGGGUACGAUGCGGAGCGAAAUUAAGUAGCGAAGUAGCUGAUUUCACACUGUCGAGAAAAGUCUCUAUCGAGGUUAAAGGUGCCUGUACCGCAAACCGACACAGGUGGGUGAGGAGAGUAUCCUAAGGCCAGCGAGAGAACUGUUGUUAAGGAACUCGGCAAAAUGACCCCGUAACUUAGGGAGAAGGGGUGCCUUCGAAAGAAGGCCGCAGAGAAUAGGCCCAAGCGACUGUUUACCAAAAACAUAGGUUUCUGCUAAGUCGCAAGACGAUGUAUAGGAGCUGACGCCUGCCCGGUGCUGGAAGGUUAAGGGGAUCUGUUAGAGCAAUCGAAGCAGUGAACUUAAGCCCCAGUAAACGGCGGCCGUAACUAUAACGGUCCUAAGGUAGCGAAAUUCCUUGUCGGGUAAGUUCCGACCCGCACGAAAGGCGUAACGAUUUGGGCACUGUCUCAACAACAGACUCGGUGAAAUUGUAAUACCGGUGAAGAUGCCGGUUACCUGCGACAGGACGGAAAGACCCCAUGGAGCUUUACUGUAGCUUGACAUUGAGUCUCGGUGCUACAUGUACAGGAUAGGUGGGAGACUAUGAAGCAUGGACGUCAGUCUGUGUGGAGUCAUCCUUGGGAUACCACCCUUGUAGUACUGGGAUUCUAACCAGAGGCCAUGAAUCUGGUCUUGGGACACUGUCAGGUGGACAGUUUGACUGGGGCGGUCGCCUCCCAAAAAGUAACGGAGGCGCUCAAAGGUUCUCUCAGUACGGUCGGAAAUCGUACGAAGAGUGUAAAGGCAAAAGAGAGCUUGAUUGCAAGACAUACAGGUCGAGCAAGGACGAAAGUCGGACUUAGUGAUCCGGUGGUUCCGCAUGGAAGGGCCAUCGCUCAACGGAUAAAAGCUACCCUGGGGAUAACAGGCUGAUCUCCCCCAA